rnacentral:piRNA from 1 species
UAGGAAUGAGUUCAGUAAAGG